ACAUGACAUUCGCUUAAUUUCCAUGAUGGAAAGCGGGGGAACCAACCGUAUGGAGGGAUACCUAUAGGAUCCUUCAACCAUACUAUGGGGUGAAUCCUGAUGCGUCGCGUACGUACGCCGCGAUGGAAUCAGGUAGGGCGACUCUCACCGCCCGAAUCCGACAGCUAACCUCGUCAGCGUUGAUCGGGAGGGUUG
rfam:Paenibacillus sp. Y412MC10, complete genome.